CUGUGGGAAAAAGGCAUCUGGAGCCCACGAGGACGUAACCUUACAAAGGGCAGGGGAGGGCGGAUGCAGCCUCUCUAUCUCGGCUGUGGUGGGGAGGGUUCCUGGCACCGUGAUUUGAUGCACAAAGAGAAACAAAAAUCACAUUGCCAGGGAUUUCCACUCCUUCACAGCUCAGCUGGUGACCCACCGCACUGUUUCCAUCGCGGGUUGCUUUUGUGUAGCCGUCCUAGCUGCUCUGAUUGGAUUCAGUUGAUUUCUGAUGCUGGAUGUUGCUAUGGAGUCAAAUAUGGGUGAAGUUAGAUACGGCGAUCAACUCUCAGCAGACUUCUCACAAGGAGAGCUGUGACAUAGCACAGAAAGUGUCGAAACGCUCACGAGGCUGCCGUUAAACGUGCAGCUGUCUGAAAUUCAAACUCUUCACACGUCUCGUCUUUCAAGUAUGACAGGAAGUUGAUGUAAAUGCACGUGAGGGCCGUGCAGCUUUACGUGAUAGAACUAACUUUUGGAGUCAGCUCACGUUUCAGCUCUCGGAUUUUAGAUUUAAACACACAGGGAAGCGGCCCUGAUCCUACACCGGCAGCACGCUCCGAAACACGAAAGCGAACCUCAACAUCCGAAGCACCGCAGGCGCUAAAGCCACCAACUUUACCGGUGAGCAGUCACGUAAAGGUCUGCGUGAGGCUCUGGUCCCUCGAAAGCCUGCCACCCACUUGCUAAAGGCACAGAGCUUAGCUAAUUGGUGAGCAUUGAUCCCUGCUAUGUGUUGUUCACAGUGGCUAAGUUCAGUGCCUGAGGUGAAAUAGUGGAUUCGACGUUGGGGGAUUUGUUCCGCUGAAUGGAAAGAACCUGAUGAUCUCGGAUAUGAGGAAAGAAGGAGGGAGGAGAAGGGGGGAGAGAUUAGGUGGGAAAGGGAGAAGCUCGGCUCACGGCUCUAAUGUGGGCUCACCUGCUUCUGUGGACCAAAGGCAGCGUGCUUGUGCAAUAUGGUCCAGAGGUGAGACAAGCUGUACUGUUUCUUCAUUUGCCUGCAGCAACAACUGUCUUCUUACCUCUAACAUCUGGCAAGAAUCAUGGUGCAUGCCAAAUAUAUUUGAAAUUGUUUGAGCGAGGCCAUGUGACCCAGGUUUAAUGUGUUCUUGCAAAUGCCUCAGAUUGCAUCUGGAUUAGGAAUGUGGUGCUAAAUGUCAACUGUACCUGGGCGUGCCACUUCACGUCCGACUGAGGUAGCUUAGGACGUCAGUGCCAGUGUUUAGCACUAACCUUCCCACACUUUAUCACCCGUAGCUGAAAGUCUCCCAGCUUUUCCUACGAUAAACUAGCUGAUUGAUUUCAUGUUGGUCUGAGCUGUCGCUUAAUUUUUCUUGGGUGGAUUUUUAGCAAAUUAACACCAGUGCAAACUAAGAAGUAAAACCCUUUUUUCCUGAAAUAAAAGUGUCUUAAGUGAUCACAAAUUCUCCCACUGCUCUCUGUGAGCUGCGUGACUGCAGUAAAUUUGCCUAAUGCUGCGUAAUUCACCCCGAACUUGGUGCUGCUGUUCUAACGCUGCGUGCUGCAAUGAUGUGAGCAAAAAUAAGCUGCAGCACUCACAGUUGUUUCUGGGCUAUGCCCUCCUGUGCCUACUGAACUGGUAUCAGUGUUAUACCUGAAAACUGGCUCAGUUCAGCAGGAACAGGAGUGGAGCCUACAGACACGCGACAGCUUCGAGCGACAGCAGCGAGACCGAGAUUCAGCUGUUGUUGGUUGCUGUGUCAAACUGACGUGAUGCUCGCCUCGAGUCAAAGGCGGUGAUGAAAUCCAAACCAGAGUCCCCGAACCUGUCAGACUGAAGCUUGACGUCUCCGUGGAAGUGCGUCCCGACUUAGACGACUGUGCUUUCCUUCGUCGACGUGUAAAUGUUUCAUGAGCCGAUGGGUUGGUGUUUGUGAAUACUCGUGCAUGCUAAUGAACCCAAUCCUGUUGUUCUGUUCAACCUUCAUCUUUCUCCUGCAUUCUCCUCCUGAGACGCCUGCAGACACGCCCCUCGAGCUUCACCUGUGUCGUCUCUCUGUCUGUGCCGUCAAAGGCCAGGCUGAGACUAGGGCUCAUUGUGAGCUAAUCCCAGUGAAAUGUCUGCUAUGUCUGUGCAAUGGAUUUCAACCAGCAGCCCCACAUUGUGAGCGAAUGGGAGUGUGUGGAGCCACAAAAGGAAAAGUGCUUGAAAAUUUCAUAUCCAGAGGAAAGUGGAAGCUCAUCAGUAAGCGUGAUGAAUUUGCUCUUAUCUGGCACCUCCACUGAUCCUGGCUGCCGCCAUAAAAUUAUGUUUCCAUUACUUGAAAUUUCUGCAGAUAAAUGUUCCAUUCAGACCUGGAGGAGAUUACCCAGUGAAAAGGUUAGAGAGGGGUUUCUCUCUAUCGGUGAUGCCGACUUCAGGGCAUUGUUUCAGCCAGGUGGUACCACUGACAAGUUGGCUAUGAUUUGUGUGUUUCGUUCCAGCACAAACCCAGCACUGACUGAAUGCAAUAAAGUUUAAAUGAGCCUGA